UACGGAAGGCAGCAGUGGGGAAUAUUGCACAAUGGGCGAAAGCCUGAUGCAGCUAUGCCGCGUGUAUGAAGAAGGCCUUAGGGUUGUAAAGUACUUUCAUCGGGGAGGAAAAACAAAACUAAUAAUUUUAUUUCUUGACGUUACCCGAAAAAGAAGCACCGGCUAACUCCGUGCCAGCAGCCGCGGUAAUACGGAGGGUGCUAGCGUUAAUCAGAAUUACUGGGCGUAAAGAGCACGUAGGUGGUUUUUUUAAGUCAGAUGUGAAAUCCCUGGGCUUAACCUAGGAACUGCAUUUUGAAACUGAAAUACUAGAGUAUCGUAGAGGGAGGUAGAAUUCUAGGUGUAGCGGUGAAAUGCGUAGAUAUCUGGAGGAAUACCUGUGGCGAAAGCGGCCUCCUAAACGAAUACUGACACUGAGGGUGCGAAAGCGUGGGGAGCAAACGAGGGAUUAGAU
rnacentral:rRNA from 1 species